GAUUAUGUUGAUGGAUUUAUCCUCUUGUCACUAUGAUCUGAAAUCAUUGAAGGGUUGUGAGUAAGCAUACAUAUUCUCAGGACGUCUUGAAUGGCCAAAGCCACUGGCUAACAUUAGUGCAGACCUACACCUAGGAGGGAAUCUUGGUAAGCCUUUUCAUGGGGCAUUAAACAUGGCUAUAGGUUGAUAUGAAGUACUAGAGUAAUCAAUGGACUAAACCAUUGAUGUUUGUUUAAAUAUUGUUGAUUGAGUGAGUGUUUCUAAUAUGUUGAAAAUGUUGUUGAAAUGAUGUAACUCAUAUUUGGACUUUUACAUAUAUUAUAUACUAGAUUUGGUUGUGUUUCUGUUACUGUUUAUAAUGUGCAUUGCUGAUGCUUGAUUUGUUGAGAAGAGAUGUGCACUAUUUAUUGAGAGGUGGUAUGCUUAUACCGUUCAUCUCAAUUCUUUUUCAGCUUCCGACUUAUAGGAGGAAAGCUACAUCAGUGGAGGAUUCUUAGGAAUUUGGAUUUUGGGUUAAUGUUGGUUAUGCAUAUGAGACUGCGUCCUUUGGAUAGGAGGACGAUCGUGCCAUUUUCCCUAUGUUUGUAGAGCUAGGGUGUGAUGGUUUUAUCAAUUUGUCCUUUUAAGCUUUGUUCAAAAACAUCAAGCCAUGCAAGUAGUCAUUGUUCAAAAUAUGAUACCAUGUACAGCGCAAGUCAAGAGGUUGUGUGAGAGAAUAAUAUUGCUUUCUCUUAGUGCUAUUUGCUUCAUCUUGUUCUUACUUUUGGGAAUAUAAAUGAUAUGGAGCGUAAUUCGAAAUGUC